CUGCAAGUUUCCAGCAUGGCCCGGCUCGUAGCCCUGCUCAUUCCUGUACAGCUUGCUAGAUCAGUACUGGGACCGUUUGAGGCUUCUUCCUGCCCCUCCAGGGGGAGGUUAUAGAAAUCCCAGACACGU